rnacentral:rRNA from 1 species
AACGAACGCUGGCGGCAGGCCUAACACAUGCAAGUCGAGCGAGGACUUCGGUUCUAGCGGCGGACGGGUGAGUAACGCGUGGGAAUGUGCCCUUCUCUACGGAAUAGCCCUGGGAAACUGGGAGUAAUACCGUAUACGCCCUAUUGGGGUAAGAUUUAUCGGAGAAGGAUCAGCCCGCGUUGGAUUAGGUAGUUGGUGGGGUAAUGGCCUACCAAGCCGACGAUCCAUAGCUGGUUUGAGAGGAUGAUCAGCCACACUGGGACUGAGACACGGCCCAGACUCCUACGGGAGGCAGCAGUAGGGAAUCUUAGACAAUGGGGGCAACCCUGAUCUAGCCAUGCCGCGUGAGUGAUGAAGGCCUUAGGGUUGUAAAGCUCUUUCAGCUGGGAAGAUAAUGACGGUACCAGCAGAAGAAGCCCCGGCUAACUCCGUG